ACAAUUUGGGCAACCUCUCCCCUUCACGCCCACUGUUCCAGAAUUUCUCCUCCCUAAUCAUACAAAGAUCUGAACCAUGAAGAAGAAGCCAAAAUCCCUCCUCUGCACCCAUUAACCAAAGCGCUCAAACCUGUCACUUUCUCAAAACCUCUUCUCCCAAUUUUUUCCCAAAUCGUGAUUACCAACACAGAGGUUCCAGGCUGGAAUACAAGAGUUGUGAGAUUUUGUUGAAUUCAAAGUUGGAUCCUUUAUUGCUGGAGAAAAGCAGACAAACAGAGGUCUGCUUUAAUUACAAGCUACAAAUAGUGGCUCAUGGAUUCCUUUUCAUUCACUGGAUUUGUAGUGUUUCAUUGGAAUAGUCUUGGCCAAAGUUUUACUGUUCUUAUUUUUGAAACCGUUUAUUAGUUUGAGUAAGAUUCUUAAUUUGUUUGUGUUCUAUCGGAUUUUAAACUUUUCUGCUAUAUAUUGAGUUUUUUUUUUCAUUCAUGUUUUCAUUGAAUAAUUGGGUGUAAUGUUACCCAGAAAAUCCUAAGUACUUUGAUGGUAUCUCAAUUUAGAAGCAUUGUUAUACUUUUAUACCAAAAAUAGAGUCAUGCACUUACCAUUGGCAGGACAAGGGAUACCGGAAUAUAUACUUUUGAUCGUUUUAUAUAUGAUUUGUAGCAUAACUAAAAUUGUUAAUAGCUAUGUAAAUUCAAAAAACACGGGGUGCACCGAAAGGGUUAUGUCUAUGCGUAUAUCAACUUUGUAAAUAUUAUAGAACGAUUGUGUUAUGUAUCUUUAUUAUAAUUAAGUUCCAAUUGUUAUAUUUAGAAAAAACAG